rnacentral:rRNA from 1 species
GACGAACGCUGGCGGCGUGCUUAACACAUGCAAGUCGAACGAAGUGGCGAACGGGUGAGUAACGCGUAAUCAACCUGACCUUCAGAGGGGGACAACAGUUGGAAACGACUGAUAAUAACGCAUAAUGAAGGAGGGGAUUGCGUCGGAUGAGCUAGUUGGAGGGGUAACGGCCCAACAAGGCGAUGAACAGUAGCAGGGCGGAGAGGGUUAACGUCCAAAUUGGGACUGAUGAACGUCCCAGACUCCUACGGGAGGCAGCAGUGGGGAAUCUUCCGCAAUGGACGAAAGUCUGACGGAGCAACGCCGCGUGAUAUAUGACGGCCUUCGGGUUGUAAAGCUCUGUUAAUCGGGACGCGGUACCGGAAUAGAAAGCCACGGCUAACUACGGGCCAGCAGCCGCGGUAAUUC